rnacentral:rRNA from 1 species
GACUCAGCGAGUACACAUUUUUGAGUGCCCACAUU